rnacentral:rRNA from 1 species
GUGGGGAAUCUUAGACAAUGGGCGCAAGCCUGAUCUAGCCAUGCCGCGUGAGUGAUGAAGGCCCUAGGGUUGUAAAGCUCUUUCAGCUGGGAAGAUAAUGACGGUACCAGCAGAAGAAGCCCCGGCUAACUCCGUGCCAGCAGCCGCGGUAAUACGGAGGGGGCUAGCGUUGUUCGGAAUUACUGGGCGUAAAGCGCGCGUAAGCGGACUGAAAAGUUGGGGGUGAAAUCCCGGGGCUCAACCUCGGAACUGCCUUCAAAACUAUCAGUCUGGAGUUCGAGAGAGGUGAGUGGAAUUCCGAGUGUAGAGGUGAAAUUCGUAGAUAUUCGGAGGAACACCAGUGGCGAAGGCGGCUCACUGGCUCGAUACUGACGCUGAGGUGCGAAAGCGUGGGGAGCAAACAGGAUUAGAAACCCCUGUAGUCC